rnacentral:rRNA from 1 species
UACGUAGGUGGCAAGCGUUGUCCGGAUUUAUUGGGUUUAAAGGGUGCGUAGGCGGCUUUGUAAGUCAGUGGUGAAAUACGGCAGCUCAACUGUCAAGGUGCCAUUGAUACUGCGGAGCUUGAGUACAGAUGAGGUAGGCGGAAUUGACGGUGUAGCGGUGAAAUGCUUAGAUAUCGUCAAGAACACCUAUAGCGAAGGCAGCUUACUAGGCUGUAACUGACGCUGAGGCACGAAAGUGUGGGGAUCAAACAGG